rnacentral:rRNA from 1 species
UACGUAGGGUGCGAGCGUUAAUCGGAAUUACUGGGCGUAAAGCGUGCGCAGGCGGUUUUGUAAGCCAGAUGUGAAAGCCCCGGGCUCAACCUGGGAAUGGCAUUCAGGACUGCGAGGCUCGAGUGUGGCAGAGGGAGGUGGAAUUCCAUGUGUAGCAGUGAAAUGCGUAGAGAUGUGGAGGAACACCGAUGGCGAAGGCAGCCUCCUGGGCCAGCACUGACGCUCAUGCACGAAAGCGUGGGGAGCAAACAGG